UACAGAGGUCUCAAGCGUUGUUCGGAUUCAUUGGGCGUAAAGGGUGCGUAGGUGGCGCGGUAAGUCGGGUGUGAAAUUUCGGAGCUUAACUCCGAAACUGCAUUCGAUACUGCCGUGCUUGAGGACUGGAGAGGAGACUGGAAUUUACGGUGUAGCAGUGAAAUGCGUAGAGAUCGUAAGGAAGACCAGUGGCGAAGGCGGGUCUCUGGACGAG
rnacentral:rRNA from 1 species